AUCGUUUGCAUUGUGUAGAAACUACGUCGUCUCAUUCAGCGUCAGCCGUUUUAUAGAAGGCUUUGGUCUUCUUGAAGUAUCACCCAACCAACCCAUCAGAAAAAAUGUCAUCUUAGCCAGACCCAGCUACUACCAUGGCACACCAUCCAACCACCCGAAAGAAUACCUCAUCUUUCCCAGUGAAUAUGAUGG